rnacentral:rRNA from 1 species
GAGUUUGAUCAUGGCUCAGGACGAACGCUGGCGGCGCGCCUAACACAUGCAAGUCGAACGGAACUUGGAGGAGCUUGCUUUUCCAAGUUUAGUGGCGAACGGGUGAGUAACGCGUGAGUAACCUGCCCUGGAGUGGGGGACAACAGUUGGAAACGACUGCUAAUACCGCAUAAGCCCACGGUGCCGCAUAGCACUGAGGGAAAAGGAUUUAUUCGCUUCAGGAUGGACUCGCGUCCAAUUAGCUAGUUGGUGAGGUAACGGCCCACCAAGGCGACGAUUGGUAGCCGGACUGAGAGGUUGAACGGCCACAUUGGGACUGAGACACGGCCCAGACUCCUACGGGAGGCAGCAGUGGGGGAUAUUGCACAAUGGGGGAAACCCUGAUGCAGCGACGCCGCGU